UAACCGACUACUGCUCUUCUACCCUACUGUCUGUCAGAGUAUUUCAUCACAGUGGCAGGAAGAGAGACAUACCACUAUUGGGGGUGGCCAACCUGCAGAUUUACUGCCUCUAGCUUUCCAGUGUUUUGAGUGGUCUAAGCUGACAAGAAAUGACUCAGAAAGCUGGCAUCUGCCUGGCCUUUACAAGAUUCAUUUCAGCUGUGUCUGUGUCCUGAUAUUUUCUCAUCAUUAAUGCUGGUAUCACUUGGUUUACAAGGUUUCUGGGGCUGAAAGGGGAAAAUGCUGCAGAUAAGCCAGCAAUCACAGACAGAUACAGAGACAGAAGUGGAGAAUUCUAUUUUGUUUCCAUUCCUUGAUGAACUAUCAAUGCAGUAAGACUCAAAAAAAAGUACCCCCCAAUUUAUUUUUGAGGUUUCAAGGCUGUCUUGGAACUCUAGAACCCCAACUUUAAGACAUGCACCUGCCUUUACCUCCUGAGUGCUGGGAUUAAUGGUGUGUGCCUCCACUGCCCAGCUCUGGUUUGGAUUUUAGGAGCAGAUUUUUAACUGCUGAGCCAUUUCCCCAGCUCCAAAAGAAUUUACUAAGUGGCAUCUGGUUUAUGUCCACCACCUUUCAGCCCUGUUUGUCUUUUUACUGGUACUCAUGUGACAGAGGGAAGUGAAGUCUGAUGCUGCCUUGCGUUUGUUCCCCAUAAGAUCUGGCUCUGGUCCUAGAGGGUGCUACAGGAGUGGCCACGGCUGUGGGGUGCAGGGAGUUGCUAUGCAGCACCAUCUGUAACUAACAGCAUUUGGCCCUGGUUAUGGGAACAGUUGGUGUUUUUAAGAUGCCCAUUAAUUGCCAGCCCUACUGGUCUGAGAAAUGAUUGACUAUGGGCACCUUUACCCAGGGCUUUUGAUGGGUAUGAGCAAUGGGAUUUGUGUGCCACCACAUGGAACUGACACGUUAGGGCAUACCAACUACACUCGGCUGCUGGAAGUCAUUUGGCUGUUUGUCUUGUCCACUGUGACUCAGUGAGUUCAGGAUGUUUGUGACACAGCACCAGAAGAAGCUCAACUGGUGCUUUUCAUAGUUCUUAACCACAGAGGCAGGGGCUCUACCCUGGAACUCAUUUGUGGAACUCAGCUCUUGUCUUAGCAUCCUAAAUGCUGGGAUUGUAAGUGUCACCCAGCUCACCAGUUAUUUUCAUAGUCACUCCAUGUAUCUUCUGACCCCAGAGGACAUGGCCCUUUUUAAGACUGAGGAUGUGACUCAGUGGUAGGGUACUUGUCUAGCCUGAGUUAGAAAUAAAAUUACUGUCCUGUUGAAAUUAGUGCUUUCGGGAUUCCCUGGUUUCUAGGUCUCCAGAUGAAAUGUGACUUUUGCCUACUUGUGCGCUUCCUAACUCUUCUCUACUAAUGUCGGUUUCCUAAGAUGACCCUGCUGUCACACCUUCCUUCAUGCCAGGCUGGUUUUAUACAUGCCCCACUUGGUUUCUCACUUUCUGGCUGCUCAAGCGUGUCCUCUCACAGAUGUCCUCAUUCUGUUGUGUUCAUUUGAGACCGACAGUGCAGAGUUUGUUUGAAACUACAGCACUAAGUCUAAGAACAAGAACCCUGUGUGCCAGUCCCAGUGCCUGGCACAUGUUUUGACGCCAGUGGUGUGACUGACUUCAUCUUGUGAGCCAGCAGGUGAUACAGACGAAAUAUCAGGUUGAUGGCAUUAAUGACCUAGUGAAAUAGACUUCUUUCUCCUUGUGUACUUGGGGAGGAGCUUAUGUGAAGUCAGUACCCACAUUCAGCUGGACUCAGAUCUGAAGCCGUACCACACUCUGUGACAGUUGCCAAGUCUUUCUGUCUCAGCUUCCGGGCGACCUCAGUGUCUUGGCUGGGGACACUGUCAGAUCGUGAGUUUGUUUUAAAUUUUCAUUAGUUGUUUCAAGGCAUAUGUUUUCUGGUGUGUUUCGUUCCCCAAGUGGAAAAGAAACAUGACCUCAUAACCCCGGGUGUGGACCAGUGCUUGACUUGCCUUAGGCUCUGGUUUGGGUCACCAGCAUCAAAACAAACCCACUUUU
rnacentral:lncRNA from 1 species